UUAAUUUUACUUGAGUACAGUUUCUGGGUACUCUACCCAACUCUUAUAAAAGUGUAGAUGUUUGCAAAAAUGAACUUGUUUCAAAAGAAGUGGUAUACUACCUACUGCAGUAGUUUUUGAAGAGACUGUCGAGAUUGUAGUAGUUUCUGGAUAAGUCGUGCCUAGGAAAAUAGUUUCUAUAGAAGUGGGAGUUUUCAGAGCCAUUGUGGUUUCAACAAAUGUUAAGCCAGGAGUAGUUUCAGAUGUGAUUGUUCCAGCAGGUGUCAUUACUGGUGUGGAUAUUUCCAUAAAUUUUCCUGUUGAAUUAACAGCGUUUCAGUAAAAGUGGUGCCUAGGGUUGUAGUUUCUGCAGAACUGGUGCUAAGGGCACCAUAGUAGUUUCUGUUUGAGACACUGUGAUUUUAACAGCAGACAUUAAAGCCAGGCAUAGUACUAGUACUAGUUUCUAUUGCAGUGGUACCUGUAGGAUAUAUUUUUGCAGAAGCUGUAGUUUUUAGAGCCAUUGUGGAAUCAGCAGCAGAUUUUAAGGCAGGCAUAAUUAUAGCUGAGGUUGUUGUUCCAGCAGUUGUCAUUUCUGUAGAAGUGGUACCAACAGUAGAAAUUUCUGUAGUAUUAUCUGCAGAAGUGGUAGUUUGAGCCAUUGUGGCUUCUACAGCAGUUUGUUCCAACAGUUUUGUUUCAAGCAAAAUUGGUGCCAAGGGUACUAGUUUGCGCACAACUGGUACCCUUUACAAAAGAGGGACCAACUGUGUUUUUUACAGAAGUUAUGCAAAAGGUAGUUGUUUCUACAGUAGUGGUGCCUAAUGGUAGUUUGAGCCAUUGUGGUUUCAACAGCAGGCGUUAAGACAGGUGUGCCUAUAGCUGUAGUUCCUGCUGAACUAACUGAGGGUGUUUCAGCAAAAGUGCCAUCAAGCACUUCAACUGCAGAUGUGGAGUCAGGCAUACCUGCUGUUGUUCCAGCAGUUGUUACAAGCAUGGAUGUUUCCAAGAUUCCUGUUGAACUUGCAGAAGAUGUUUUUUCUGCAGAAGUGGUGCCAAGGGUAAUGCUUCCUACAGAAGUGGAGCCAAGGGUAGUAGUUUCUGCAGAAGUCGUGGCCGGGGUUGUGGUUGUGGUAGAAGGGGUAGUAGUUUCUGCAGAAGUGAUGCCUAGGGCAGUAGUUUCUGCAGAAGUCAUGCCCAGGGUUGUGUUUUCUGCAGAAGUGGUAGUAGUUUCUGCAGAAGUUGUGCCCAGGGGUGUGCUUUCUACAGAAGUGGUAGUAGUUUCGGCAGAAGUGAUGCUAAGGGUAGUAGUUUCUGCAGAAUUUAUGCCAAGGGUAAAAGUUGUUGCAGAAGUCGUGCCCAGGGUUGUGUUAUCUGCAGAAGU
ensembl:lncRNA